rnacentral:lncRNA from 1 species
AUGGUCACAUGGCCUGCGGGCUCGGGGCUGCACGUGAUCACACACAGUACACACACACACCACACACACACCCCACACACACCACACACCACAUACCACACACACAUCACACACCACACAUACACUACACACACACACACACACACACCACACACACACCACACACACACCACACACCACACACCACACACACACACCACACACACACCGCACACACACACCACACACCACACACAUGACACACCACACACACAUCACACACCACACACACCAUACACCACACACACACCACACACCACACCACACCACACACACCACAGACCACACACACAUCACACACCACACACCCCACCCCACACACACCACACACACCACACACACACCACACAAUACACCCACCACACACACCACACACACAUCACACACCGCACACCACACACACACCACACACACACACCACACACCACACACACACCACACACCACACACACCACACACACACACCACACACACCACACACCACACACAUCACACACCACACACCCCACCCCACACACACCACACACACCACACACACACCACACACUACACACACACGCCACACACACACCACACACACAUCACACACCGCACACCACACACACACUACACACAUCACACACCACACACACCACACACACACACACCACACACACCACACACCACACACACCACACACACCACACACACCACACACACCACACACACCACACACACACACCACACACACCACACACACAAACGUACCACGAAUGCACACAUUCAGACACACACACACCUCCCACACAAACACAUACACCACACACACAUAAACUUACCACAGAUGCACACAGGCAGACACACACACCAUGCACCACCCACACACCACACAGAAACACAUAUACAUCACACACACAAACGUAUCAUAGAUGCACACAUGCAGACAUACACCAUGCAAGCACACAUACACCACACACACAUCACACCACACACAUACCACACACACAUACUUAUGCACACAUACACACCACACACAUAUACACAGACACCACACACACCACACACACAUAUACACACACAGACACAUACACACCACAUAUACAUACAUACAAACAGUUGCACACAUACAUACACACAGACACACACAAGUACACACACUACACAGACAAGCACACACACACAGACAUGACCCCUAGCCAAGCCCAGCUUUGCAUUGGUCACUAA